UACAGAGGGGGCAAGCGUUGUUCGGAAUUACUGGGCGUAAAGGGCGCGUAGGCGGCCCGCUAAGUCGAACGUGAAAUCCCCGAACUCAACUCGGGAACUGCGUCCGAUACUGGUGGGCUUGAAUUCGGGAGAGGGAUGCAGAAUUCCAGGUGUAGCGGUGAAAUGCGUAGAUAUCUGGAGGAAUACCGGUGGCGAAGGCGGCAUCCUGGACCGACAUUGACGCUGAGGAGCGAAAGCUAGGGGAGCAAACGGG
rnacentral:rRNA from 1 species